GGGGAGAAUCCAAACCACCCCCCCCCAGGAACAGGGGUGAGGGGGGGUCUCCAUUGAUCCCAGCUCCGGAAAAAGCUCUGGAAGGGUCCGUCAUUCCGGACGACGAGGAAAAAAAAAGGACCAAAAAAAUUAAAUAGAAGCGACGUUUCCUCUCUCUCCCUUUUCUUUUUUCANNNNNNNNNNACAACAUCCCCAGGAGGCGCAGGACAGGCCGGGGCAGGAGCUCUGGCAAAAUGAAAAGUGAGCCUUUUUAUUGUGUUCUCGAUUAUCAUCACUUCUGAACAACAACUCCACAAAAUACCGAACACUGUGCGAGGAAUCGGGCUACGGCACGACCGGGAACGGGACGCGGAGACGGGGACGAUGCAGACGCUGCGAGGAGCCCACGGCACGGACACCCCUGCCCCCCUCCCCACAGCCCCCACACACCUGGGAUUCGCGUUUGGCAACAAGAUCAGAGUUUGGCAAAUAAUUUUUUUUUUUCCUUUUUUUUUGUUUUUGUUUGUUUUUUGGCAAACGCACUAACAAAGUACAAGCGGCUACUGUAAUUUGCACUUAUAUUGCUGCCAUACAAAAACACCUACAGUAUGAGCACUGAUUUACUCAGACGAGGAAAAAAAAAUAAAAUAAUAAUAACAAUAAUAAUAAAAAAAAAAGAAAAGGUCGAGGAUUUUUUUUUUCCACCUAAACGAGUCACCCACUGAGAGACACCAGCACCCGCCGGCAGGACACCCCCCUCCCCGGCACCGGGACCCCCCCAGCCCCGUCCCCAGGCUCCUGGGGGACCCCAAGAAGCUGCUCCUUCUCCCCUUCUCCCGGCUCCAGCCUCACGCUGAACCUCCAGCUGCCCCCCGGCCCCGCACCGGCCACCCUCCCGCCGGCACCGGGGACGAGAGUGGCCCACGGGGGUGGAAGGAUGAGGGGGGGGGAGGCAGAAUGACCCCCGUCUGCUGGAGCGUGGCGUGCCCGGCUGGCGUUUUUCCAGCAGAGCAUCCCCUGGGAUUCACUGGUGAAGCAGCCCGUCGUAUUUGCCGGCAGAGCAUCCCAUGGCGUUUGCCAGCAGAGCAUCCUGGGGGGUUUUCCAGCAGAGCAUCCCGGGGUAUUUUUCCAUCAGAGCAUCCCGUGGCACUCACCGAAAGAGCAUCCCGUGGUGUUUGCCAGCGGAGCAUCCCAUGGCAUUUGCUGGGAAGGCAUCCCAUGGGAUUUUCCAGCAGAGCAUCCCAUGGUAUUUUCGGGCAGAGCAUCCCACGGCUUUCACCGGCAGAACAUCCCAUGGUGUUUUCCGGCAGAGCCUCCCAUCCUAUAUCCCAGCAGAGCAUCCCGUGGCACCCACCGGCAGAGCAUCCCGCGGUGUUUGCCAGCGGAGCAUCCCAUGGAAUUUCCUGGAAGAGCAUCCCGGGGUAUUUUCCCAUCAGAGCAUCCCGUGGCAUUCACCAAAAGAGCAUCCCAUGGAGUUUCCUGGGAGAGCAUCCCAUGGCUUUCACCAGCAGAGCAUCCCAUGGGAUUUUCCAGCAGAGCACCCUCUGGCAUUCACGGGCAGAGUAUCCCACGGCAUUUUCCAGCAGAGCAUCCCACCCUACAUUCCAGUGGAGCAUCCCGUGGAACUCACCGAAAGAGCAUCCCGCAGUGUUUGCCAGCAGAACUUCCCAUGGCAUUUGCUGGCAAAACAUCCCAUGGGAUUUUCCAGCAGAGCAUCCCAUGGCUUUCACCAGCAGAACAUCCCACGGGAUUUUCCAGCAGAGCACCCUCUGGCAUUCCCCGGCAGAGCAUCCCACAGCAUUUUCCGGCAGAGCAUCCCGUGGCGUUCCCCGGCAGAGCAUCCCACACCACGAGCCACCCAGCACCGUGGAUCUGAGCCUCCCCGCCUGA
rnacentral:lncRNA from 1 species